rnacentral:rRNA from 1 species
AGCGAACGCUGGCGGCAGGCUUAACACAUGCAAGUCGAGCGGGCAUCCUUGUGGUGUCAGCGGCAGACGGGUGAGUAACGCGUGGGAACGUGCCCUUCAGUUCGGACUAACUCAGGGAAACUUGAGCUAAUACCGGAUACGUUCGAGAGCAGAAAGGUUUAUGUGCCGAGGGAUCGGGCCGCGUCUGAUUAGCUAGUUGGUGAGGUGAUGGCUCACCACGGCUACGAUCAGUAGCUGGUCUGAGAGGAUGAUCAGCCACACUGGGACUGGGACCCGGCCCAUACGCGAGGGAGCAGGGGGGGAGGGGAAACAUGGGGCGGGGGGCUGAUGCAGAAACGCCCAGGGCGGGUGGAGGGCCUCGGGGUUGGGAAUGUAAAUCGCUUGUGUCGGGGCGUGAAUGACGGUAACGGGUAAAGAAGCACCGGCUAAAUACGGG